rnacentral:rRNA from 1 species
AUUGAACGCUGGCGGCAUGCUUUACACAUGCCAGUCGAACGGCAGCGCGGGCUUCGGCCUGGCGGCGAGUGGCGAACGGGUGAGUAAUACAUCGGAACGUGCCCAGUAGUGGGGGAUAGCUCGGCGAAAGCCGGAUUAAUACCGCAUACGACCUGAGGGUGAAAGCGGGGGAUCUUCGGACCUCGCGCUAUUGGAGCGGCCGAUGGCAGAUUAGCUAGUUGGUGGGGUAAAGGCCUACCAAGGCGACGAUCUGUAGCUGGUCUGAGAGGACGACCAGCCACACUGGGACUGAGACACGGCCCAAACUCCUACGGGAGGCAGCAGUGGGGAAUUUUGGACAAUGGGCGAAAGCCUGAUCCAGCAAUGCCGCGUGUGUGAUGAAGGCCUUCGGGUUGUAAAGCACUUUUGGCGGGAACGAAAAGGACUGUGCCAAUACCACGGUUCGAUGACGGUACCCGCAGAAUAAGCACCGGCUAACUACGUG